AGAAAAGGCAGACAAGAUCAUACAAUAACACUUUUACUUUGAAACUUACCAUUUGAAGGAUUCCUUUAUUUAUAUAUCCUCUUAUCCCAUAUGUUUUUAUCUCUUUUCCAGUCGUGUCGUAGGUAUGGUAUUGCUUUUUAGGCUGAGAUGUAUUAUAUGUGGUUGUGUUCCACACUUUUUCAGGCUUUUGACUCGGAUGAAGCGCAAAAGGAUUGUUCCUGAUUCAUCUGUGAGAAAAAAAAAAAAAAAAAAAGAAUGGUGGAACGUGGAAGGGAAAAAAAUCCUUGUGCUCUCUGUGGGAAAAUAGGAGGCAAUUUCAGUAAUGUUGGGCCCCAACAACACAAUCCUUGUAACGCAGAAAAAUAGGCUGUGACAGCUCAAAGCAAAGCAACCAAUGAGUGGAUAACAGAGAGGGACUCACUGCUUCUUCAGACAGAAUCAUCUGGGGUGGUCCUUUUUUUUUUUCAUUACUACUUACGAUCUCUUUGGCAAAGAGUUACGUUCAGUUUCUUCAAGAUUAGGAUCAUUCUUCAAAUAGUAACCAGAAGGGUAUAAUGUUAUGGAGGAGUAGGAUUAAAAAAGAAAAGAGAGACGGGUGACAAAAGGUGGCCCAGUGAAGAUUGUGCACCCAUUAGAAAUCUCGGGUGUAGGGGUAGGGUCAGAGAGAGAGAUGAUGGUUUGACCAGUCCAGUUCUGAACAAAGUGAAGAAAGAAGUUGGGCUCUUCUCAACUCCAUUGGUGCGGUGGUGGGCAUUGCAGAAUGAGGUGUGUGAACUGAAAACAGAGUUGGUGGAAAUGGUUGGUCUCUAGAAGCAGAGGAGAAGCGACCAGAGAGCACUAGCGGGAGAGUCGUGGGGCAUAGCUUGUCCCAAGCAAAAUCUUGGUCCCAAUAUCAUAUUUUUACCUUUGAACAUUUGUCAGCCAAAGUGUCGAAGGGACGGCUGUGGUGGUGUUGGAAGUGGACUGGUCCACGACUGUGACCUCUCUGCUGACUUGUCUGCUUACACUCUAAUUGGUGCGUUCUUCCCACCUUCACGUGGCUGUGUUCCCAUUAACGUUUUUUUUUUUCUAUCCAAAAAAAUAAAAGUGUGUGUGUGAUGUGUCUGUCUACCUGUCUCGUUUUCUACCGUGUAGAAGAUAUUAUUAUAUGAUUCUGUUUUUCAAAGAAAGAGACUAGUGUUGGAUGA